GGACAGGAAGAGGGGGGGAACUUCCUAAUUUCCUGUCCUAUACAUGGACAGGAAGAGGGGGGGAACUUCCUAAUUUCCUGUCCUAUACAUGGACAGGAAGAGGGGGGGAACUUCCUCAUUUCCUGUCCUAUACAUGGACAGGAAGAGGUGGGAACUUCCUCAUUCCCUGUCCUGUCUGAUACAUGGACAGGAAGAGGUGGGAACUUCCUCAUUCCCUGUCCUGUCUGAUACAUGGACAGGAAGAGGUGGGAGCUUCCGCAUUUCCUGUCCUAUACAUGGACAGGAAGAGGUGGGAACUUCCUCAUUUCCUGUCCUGUCUGAUACAUGGACAGGAAGAGGGGGGGGGACUUCCUCAUUUCCUGUCCUAUACAUGGACAGGAAGAGGGGGGGAACUUCCUCAUUUCCUGUCCUAUACAUGGACAGGAAGAGGUGGGAACUUCCUCAUUCCCUGUCCUGUCUGAUACAUGGACAGGAAGAGGUGGGAGCUUCCUCAUUUCCUGUCCUAUACAUGGACAGGAAGAGGUGGGAACUUCCUCAUUUCCUGUCCUGUCUGAUACAUGGACAGGAAGAGGUGGGAGCUUCCUCAUUUCCUGUCCUGUCUGAUACAUGGACAGGAAGAGGUGGGAGCUUCCUCAUUUCCUGUCCUAUACAUGGACAGGAAGAGGUGGGAACUUCCUCAUUUCCUGUCCU